rnacentral:misc_RNA from 1 species
UUAAUAAACAAAGGCAGAUGGAGCGCGCCGAACAUGCGAGUGAAGCCACCAAAGCGAAUACAAAAUCAAAAGCGAAUACAAAGUCGCAGCAGUGCUAAAGAUAGCGUCGUAUUGUUUAAACGUCUCGAGUGAUUCAUUAUUUUGUAUCAAAAAAUGCCGUCUUGUGUUAUUAAACAUUGUGAAAGUUAUUCCCAAAAAUAAAAAAAAGAGGAUGGAAUUUCAUUUCACAGAUUGCCGACAGAUGUUGUUCUACGCGAGGAAUGGGUUUCUAUUAUUCGCCAAAGCAGGCAAGACAAUAA